rnacentral:tRNA from 1 species
GCCUCCGUGGUGUAAUGGUAGCCCACUCGACGCGUAAUCGAGAGGUUCAGGUUCGAGUCGCGAUGGGGGCA